rnacentral:lncRNA from 1 species
AGAUUGAGCUCAGCCUACUCCAGCAACUGGUUGGAGAGGACUGGGACCCAGGAGCCGGGCCAAAAUGAUGGGGCGGGUCUGGAGGCAGGGUCAGAGCCAGGGGGCGGGGCCAGGUGCGGGGCUGGUUCUUCUUGUCAAAAGGCAGACUCGGAGCUCCAGCCGUUCCGAGCUCAGAGCGAGCGUGUUCGGGGACCAGGUGCGGAGCAAGGACCAGGACGGGGCUCAGAGCUGGGACCGGGACCGAGACUGGGACCGGGAUUUGGUGGUGGGUCUUAGUGCUCCAGAGUUGUCAUUGAAAUGGUCCAGCUUUCUCCUGCCUACCACCUCACCCCUGAGUGAUCUCUUGAGCCGAUGACCUCUGCUGAAUCUUCUCUGCCCAAGACAUUCUGGAAGAGAGUUCUUCCUAUUGUACCUCCCACAUCUACUUCUAUUACCCUGCUCUUCCAGGUGGGUGCUUCUUUCCUUCUCACUGGUCCUAAGAGAAUGGCUGGAUCUGCAUAGGAGAAAACUGAG